rnacentral:rRNA from 1 species
AUUGAACGCUGGCGGCAGGCCUAACACAUGCAAGUCGAACGGUAGCACAGAGGAGCUUGCUCCUUGGGUGACGAGUGGCGGACGGGUGAGUAAUGUCUGGGAAACUGCCCGAUGGAGGGGGAUAACUACUGGAAACGGUAGCUAAUACCGCAUAACGUCGCAAGACCAAAGAGGGGGACCUUCGGGCCUCUUGCCAUCGGAUGUGCCCAGAUGGGAUUAGCUAGUAGGUGGGGUAACGGCUCACCUAGGCGACGAUCCCUAGCUGGUCUGAGAGGAUGACCAGCCACACUGGAACUGAGACACGGUCCAGACUCCUACGGGAGGCAGCAGUGGGGAAUAUUGCACAAUGGGCGCAAGCCUGAUGCAGCCAUGCCGCGUGUAUGAAGAAGGCCUUCGGGUUGUAAAGUACUUUCAGCGAGGAGGAAGGUGUUGUGGUUAAUAACCGCAGCAAUUGACGUUACUCGCAGAAGAAGCACCGGCUAACUCCGUGCCAGCAGCCGCGGUAAUACGGAGGGUGCAAGCGUUAAUCGGAAUUACUGGGCGUAAAGCGCACGCAGGCGGUCUGUCAAGUCGGAUGUGAAAUCCCCGGGCUCAACCUGGGAACUGCAUCCGAAACUGGCAGGCUAGAGUCUUGUAGAGGGGGGUAGAAUUCCAGGUGUAGCGGUGAAAUGCGUAGAGAUCUGAAAGAAUACCGGUGGCGAAGGCGGCCCCCUGGACAAAGACUGACGCUCAGGUGCGAAAGCGUGGGGAGCAAACAAAAUUAGAUACCCUGGUAGUCCACGCCGUAAACGACCUCAAAUGGGAGGUUGUGCCCUUGAGGCGUGGCUUCCGGAGCUAACGCGUUAAGUCGACCGCCUGGGGAGUACGGCCGCAAGGUUAAAACUCAAAUGAAUUGACGGGGGCCCGCACAAGCGGUGGAGCAUGUGGUUUAAUUCGAUGCAACGCGAAGAACCUUACCUACUCUUGACAUCCAGAGAACUUAGCAGAGAUGCUUUGGUGCCUUCGGGAACUCUGAGACAGGUGCUGCAUGGCUGUCGUCAGCUCGUGUUGUGAAAUGUUGGGUUAAGUCCCGCAACGAGCGCAACCCUUAUCCUUUGUUGCCAGCGGUUCGGCCGGGAACUCAAAGGAGACUGCCAGUGAUAAACUGGAGGAAGGUGGGGAUGACGUCAAGUCAUCAUGGCCCUUACGAGUAGGGCUACACACGUGCUACAAUGGCAUAUACAAAGAGAAGCGACCUCGCGAGAGCAAGCGGACCUCAUAAAGUAUGUCGUAGUCCGGAUUGGAGUCUGCAACUCGACUCCAUGAAGUCGGAAUCGCUAGUAAUCGUGGAUCAGAAUGCCACGGAGAAUACGUUCCCGGGCCUUGUACACACCGCCCGUCACACCAUGGGAGUGGGUUGCAAAAGAAGUAGGUAGCAAGCCUUCGGGAGGGCGCUUACCACUUUGUGAUU